GCCAGGCGCGGUGACUCACGCUUGUAAUCCCAGCACUUUGGGAGGCUGAGGUGGGGGGUUCACCUGAGAUCAGGAGUUCGAGACCAGCCUGGUCAACAUGGUGAAACCCCAUCUCUA
ensembl:misc_RNA Metazoa_SRP Metazoan signal recognition particle RNA